GGGUUGUGAGGUUAAGCGACUAAGCGUACACGGUGGAUGCCCUGGCAGUCAGAGGCGAUGAAGGACGUGCUAAUCUGCGAUAAGCGUCGGUGAGGUGAUAUGAACCGUUAUAACCGGCGAUUUCCGAAUGGGGAAACCCAGUGUGUUUCGACACACUAUCAUUAACUGAAUCCAUAGGUUAAUGAGGCGAACCGGGGGAACUGAAACAUCUAAGUACCCCGAGGAAAAGAAAUCAACCGAGAUUCCCCCAGUAGCGGCGAGCGAACGGGGAGGAGCCCAGAGCCUGAAUCAGUGUGUGUGUUAGUGGAAGCGUCUGGAAAGGCGCGCGAUACAGGGUGACAGCCCCGUACACAAAAAUGCACAUAUUGUGAGCUCGAUGAGUAGGGCGGGACACGUGGUAUCCUGUCUGAAUAUGGGGGGACCAUCCUCCAAGGCUAAAUACUCCUGACUGACCGAUAGUGAACCAGUACCGUGAGGGAAAGGCGAAAAGAACCCCGGCGAGGGGAGUGAAAAAGAACCUGAAACCGUGUACGUACAAGCAGUGGGAGCCUCUUAAUGGGGUGACUGCGUACCUUUUGUAUAAUGGGUCAGCGACUUAUAUUCUGUAGCAAGGUUAACCGAAUAGGGGAGCCGAAGGGAAACCGAGUCUUAACUGGGCGUUAAGUUGCAGGGUAUAGACCCGAAACCCGGUGAUCUAGCCAUGGGCAGGUUGAAGGUUGGGUAACACUAACUGGAGGACCGAACCGACUAAUGUUGAAAAAUUAGCGGAUGACUUGUGGCUGGGGGUGAAAGGCCAAUCAAACCGGGAGAUAGCUGGUUCUCCCCGAAAGCUAUUUAGGUAGCGCCUCGUGAAUUCAUCUCCGGGGGUAGAGCACUGUUUCGGCAAGGGGGUCAUCCCGACUUACCAACCCGAUGCAAACUGCGAAUACCGGAGAAUGUUAUCACGGGAGACACACGGCGGGUGCUAACGUCCGUCGUGAAGAGGGAAACAACCCAGACCGCCAGCUAAGGUCCCAAAGUCAUGGUUAAGUGGGAAACGAUGUGGGAAGGCCCAGACAGCCAGGAUGUUGGCUUAGAAGCAGCCAUCAUUUAAAGAAAGCGUAAUAGCUCACUGGUCGAGUCGGCCUGCGCGGAAGAUGUAACGGGGCUAAACCAUGCACCGAAGCUGCGGCAGCGACGCUUAUGCGUUGUUGGGUAGGGGAGCGUUCUGUAAGCCUGUGAAGGUGUGCUGUGAGGCAUGCUGGAGGUAUCAGAAGUGCGAAUGCUGACAUAA
rnacentral:rRNA from 1 species